UGUAAAUUCACUCUUGUUUCGUAAUUUUUCAAUUUCCCUUUCUUAAUAAGAAAUUAUAUCUGUUCAUUGUAUGUUAAGAUAUUUUCUUAGACAUAUGUUUGUGUUUUAUGUAUCUUCGAUAUACAGAUUAUUGGCUCCUAAUUAAUUGUAAUUAGUUUAAUAUUGAUGUGUGGUAAUGAUUUUGGUUUCCGGGAUGUGAUGAUUAUCACCCUUAAAACACUUACAAUGGAGAGAAGAGAAAAGAAAAGGAAAGAAAUUGAAUCUCUCCAAUUUCUCUAGUGUGGACAAUAAACAGAGAAGAUAAAGGAGGAUAAAUCUGAUUUCCCGAUUUCUCUUUUUUCUCUCCAAACAUUUCACUCCAAAUUGGAGGAAAAUGAGGGGAAAUGUGAGAUUAAUUAUUAAAAUUAUUUAAAUGUCCUUAUUCCAUAGUUAGACAUAAGAAAAAUUGAGGGCAAAAUAGUUUUUUCCUUCUUUUCUUUUAAGAGAGAAAUUGUACCAUUUUAAUAAUCUAUCCAAGCAAGGAAGCAUUUGCUUUCUUUUCUUUUCUCUUCGUUUCUCUUGUUCAAUUUCUCCUCAUUUCUCUUGCACAAUUAAGGAUCCAAACAUAGGGUAAGAGAUUUCAGAUAUGCACAUUCAUAAUCAUUAGCCAAAGUUUGCCUAUGCAUUUGUAUUUUAGGGAGAAGCAUUUCAAGUGCAAGGAACUGCAGCUGAAUUGAGCAAUUGGAACAGUCAUAGAUCUCCGCAUUAGAACAUAAAGACAAUAAUGGUGCACUCAAUGACAUAACAUAGAACAAGGACAACAUACACAAAUAUUAUACAGGGGAGAGCAGAACAAUGAUUAUGGUGAACUUCAGAAACAAAAGAAAAGCACCCACCAUAAUUAGCUAAAAGAUACCUCUAACCUUGUAUCUCAGAAUUAACACGAGUGGGUAAAUCUCUAUGUAUUCUCUCCACACCUAUCCAAAUUUCUGUUUAACUUAAAAAACACCACCUAAAAUAAGUCUUACUAACCAAGGCAGUCAGUGGAAAAUAGUCAAAAAGGUCUGUGAAGAUCUUCCAAACAUUAGCAUUGCCGUACUUUCGUAAACAUUCAUCAUAAAACCCAUAGACCUGAGUAAUCUGCCAAGAGGAAAAACAAAAAUGAAGCAAUGUGUAGAUUGAUAUCCAGUCUAGCAGUGUUAUAAUUCCAGGUCAAUAAAGUUAAAAGCAAAUUAAAAGUUUAACUCAACAAUCUACAAUAACAAGAAGCAUCCAUUAUUUAUAAAACAUAUUGAACAAACUGAAACAAAUCAAAAUGCAAAUGAUGAUUAGAAGGAUCCAUAUUCAAAAUGCAAUUGAUGCAGAAUUGGUUUCAAACAGAAGUGAAUGGCGAAAAAGAACCCAUAUGGCCGAUCCCAACUAGUUUGGGAUAAAUGCUUAGCUGUUGUUGUAUUACCAUAGUUGUUGAUUAAAAGUGGAAACUCAAUGAUGUAGAAUACAAAUGAAAAUUACCUGGCGACUUUCAUGGUUUCCUCUGAGAAUGGUUAUUCGCUGUGGAUAACGUACUUUCAAUGCCACUAAGAGUGUCACAGUUUCAACAGAGUAAUAACCACGAUCCACAUAAUCUCCCAUAAAUAAGUAAUUGGUAUCUGGACACUGUCAAUAAAUAUCAAAAAAUGGUCAGGAAAGUUAAAUCUGAAUGUGAUAGGAAGAAUCCAACAAAUGCCUUGCCAAAAUAUCCAAUGAGGAAGAGAGGAAAGAAAAUGCCAAAAAGAACUAAAUUUGCAAUUUGCAUAACCCAUUCUUUUGCAUUAUGUUAAAUUAUAUCUAAACAAAUACACAUACAACAUAUUUUAAAAGAUCAAUGAAGGAAGCAAUUUUUGUUUUUGUGAGGAACUCUAUGAGUUCCAGAGACAUGAAAGUAAAAUCAUAUGAACUCAGCAGACACUAAGAUCACAUUUUAGUGAAUAAUAUUAAUGGGACAUCAAGCAAGGAGAUUAAUGAAACAGAACUAUAUUUAAAAUCUUUGAUACGGAUUAUGGAAACUGAUUGUCGGGAUGUCUUCUAAUGAAAUGCACUAAAAAUAUCCAUGAUAAAAUAAAUAAAAACAAGCAGUUUCCUGACCAGUGGCAAUUUACUUGACUAUACCUCAUGGAUACUUCAACCUUCAAAGGCAUUGGCAGGUCUCAAUAAAUUAUUUUAGACAAUCCCUCAGCUGAAACAGAAGAGUUAAAAUACAAAGUGGUCAUGGUCAGAACUGAUACCUUCCCUCCAAUUCGAAAAAGUUCUGCAAGAUCAUGAAACUGCCCAUGAAUAUCGCCACAGAUUGUCACAGGGCUUUUCACAGGCUGAACAUUGCUUUCUUGCAUCAGUAUCUCCUUAGCCUUGUCACACAAUGCUCUGACCUGGGGCUCGGAGAGUGGCUUGCACUGCAUGAGUUGCGAGAUCUGCUCAUCGAGAUCGGAAAUUGAAUCUGAAGAUAACGAAUUCGCGCCCAUCUUGGUUGUUCCUCUUCGGCUCUAAGACCGCGAACCGGUUUAACGGUAGCCGGAUUAGGGACGACCCUAACCCUAAGAUUGAAUGAGCUGCUUCUUGUGUUUUCCUUUCAGUUUCUCGCAGUUCGCAUGCGCAGUUCCCGAAGAUGAAAUGGAAGAGCGCGUGAAGGAGGAAGCGAG
rnacentral:misc_RNA from 1 species